rnacentral:misc_RNA from 1 species
GAUGAAGAACGUAGCGAAAUGCGAUAAGUAAUGUGAAUUGCAGAAUUCAGUGAAUCAUCGAAUCUUUGAACGCACAUUGCGCCCGCCAGCACUCUGGCGGGCAUGCCUGUUCGAGCGUCAUUUCAACCAUCAAGCCCCCAGGGGCUUGUGUUGGGGACCUGCGGCUGCCGCAGGCCCUGAAAAGCAGUGGCGGGCUCGCUGUCACACCGAGCGUAGUAGCAUACAUCUCGCUCUGGGCGUGCUGCGGGUUCCGGCCGUUAAACCACCUUCAUAACCCAAGGUUGACCUCGGAUCAGGUAGGAAGACCCGCUGAACUUAAGCAUAUCAAUAAGCGGAGGA